UACAGGGGGUGCAAACGUUGCUCGGAAUCAUUGGGCGUAAAGCGCACGUAGGCGGUUUGUUAUGUCGGAUGUGAAAGCCCUUGGCUCAACUGAGGAAGUGCAUCCGAAACUGGCAAGCUAGAGUACUAAAGAGGGUCGCGGAAUUCCCGGUGUAGAGGUGAAAUUCGUAGAUAUCGGGAGGAACACCGGUGGCGAAGGCGGCAUCCUGGACCGAAACUGACACUGAGAUGCGAAAGCGUGGGGAGCAAACCGG
rnacentral:rRNA from 1 species